AGGAAGUUGACACAAUGGACAGGUGUGUGUGGCUGUGUGGAACAGUGUUUUAUUGUUUGGGAUCUUAUUCUUGGAUUUUUUUUUUAAGGCAAGAAGCAGUACUUUAGUAAGGACUGCGGCCACCUGCAGCCCCGUCCUUGACCGACUUGUUGGAAGCGGGCCUCCUCACACCCGGGGAAGUGGCUCCAGAGUCGGGCUGUCGGUCACGUGAGUCCUGACGAGCGAGACACAGCGUCAAUUAGCAGACAAGAAUGCAAUCCUGCUCAUGUCAAGCAUCAAGAGUAGAAUGCACGCUUAAGUUGAAACUCUUCCUUAACCAAGGAAUCAUCAGCGUGAGCCACGGCAAAUAUCCAAUUUGACGUAUUUGUAUUUUUUCCAAAGGUUUGUCAUUUAUUGAUUACAAAUAUGUAUUUGUCCAUAUAUGCCAACAAUGCAUAGUGACAAGCAAAAUAUUUAAAUGCAAUUCCAUUAGGUGGCCGAAGGUGCAAUCAAAUCAAAUCAAAUCAAAUCAAAGUUAUUGCUUCCUGCAAGUAAUUCAGCUUUGUGUUGAAUUAAGGAGGCCCACAUUUCACACUCAGUCCGUUUGUGAGUAAAUUGAGACGAGAUCAUC